rnacentral:lncRNA from 1 species
AUUCCUUGCAACUCCAGUGGGCUAGAAUCUUGAUCCAGUUUUCUCCAGACUAGAUUUCAAGCUACUAUGCAUGAUGUAGAACAUGUAACCAUGUAACCUCAUCAGCUACCUUUUCCCUUUUGACUUUUCCUGUUGCACACAGUUCAGUCUGACUAUCCAUGAAUCUUCUUUGGGAGAAAGAAAAAUGGCCCAAUGUAUAAUGUUUCUGAAUGGGGAAGGGAGAAAAAAAAAAAAUCACUGUUCUUUGUAGCUCUAACCAUGAAAGUAAAAGCAACAAAAAUAUCCCCCAGUGAAUCCCUAGAAUCAUUUAAUAAUGUAACCGGUAUCUCUUUAUCCUGCAGGUGUACACUUAAAGCGUUCUGGGAAUAUGAAUCCCUUCUGCACCCUGGAAUCACCAGUCCAGCCAUGCAUGGAGCUGGGGAAAGCAGGCCCUGAAUUGUCUAGAGAGACUUGGUGGAGGAGGCCACGGCCCGCCUUGUCCCUGCCGGGUCCCGGCCAGGAACAACUGGAUGUUGUAAAUGUUUCUCAUCUGGCCUUAAAAUCCAUGAAAGCUGGAAAAUCACAAGGCAUCUGUGCAUAUACUGGUGGAUUUUAAUGAGAGUCCUGUGUUUGGAGCACCAGAAAUAAACCAGCUUCAGAAGCAAAGUUAACAGGAGGAGGAAGCAGAGCUAGAGAUGGAAGGAGACCCAGCCAGCCCGGGCUCCAGUGACAUCGGCUGGUACACGCUUUUGUUUGCUUACGCUUGUUGAACUGAGUUUUUCAUAUGUAACUAACGAAUACUGGCACAUGUAAG